UUUCCCUCAGGAUAGCUGGCACUCGUUGAACGAGUCUCAUCUGGUAAAGCGAAUGAUUAGAGGCCUUGGGGCCGAAACGACCUCAACCUAUUCUCAAACUUUAAAUGGGUGAGAUCUCUGGCUUGCUUGAAUAAUGAAGCCACGAGAUAUUGUUUAUUGAACGGAUCAGAGUGCCAAGUGGGCCAAUUUUGGUAAGCAGAACUGGCGCUGUGGGA
rnacentral:rRNA from 1 species